AGAGUUUGAUCAUGGCUCAGGAUUAACGCUAGCGGCAGGCCUAAUACAUGCAAGUCGAACGGUAACAGGUGUAGCAAUACAUGCUGACGAGUGGCGCACGGGUGCGUAACGCGUAUGCAACCUACCUAUAACUGGGGAAUAGCCUUCUGAAAGGAAGAUUAACACCGCAUAACAUCAUGAAACGGCAUCGUUUUAUGAUCAAAUCUCCGGAGGUUAUAGAUGGGCAUGCGUGACAUUAGCUAGUUGGUGAGGUAACGGCUCACCAAGGCUACGAUGUCUAGGGGCUGAGAGGAUGAUCCCCCACACUGGUACUGAGACACGGACCAGACUCCUACGGGAGGCAGCAGUAAGGAAUAUUGGACAAUGGGCGCAAGCCUGAUCCAGCCAUGCCGCGUGAAGGAUGACGGCCCUCUGGGUUGUAAACUUCUUUUAUAUGGGAAUAAACCCCUGGUUUCUACCGGGGCUGAAUGUACCGUAAGAAUAAGGAUCGGCUAACUUCGUGCCAGCAGCCGCGGUAAUACGAAGGAUCCAAGCGUUAUCCGGAUUUAUUGGGUUUAAAGGGUGCGUAGGCGGACUAUUAAGUCAGUGGUGAAAGCCUGCAGCUUAACUGCAGAACUGCCAUUGAUACUGAUGGUCUUGAGUACAUUUGAGGUGGGCGGAAUGUGUCUGUAGUGGUGAAAUACUUAGAUAUGACACAGAACUCCGAUUGCGAAGGCAGCUCACUAAACUGUAACUGACGCUGAGGCACGAAAGCGUGGGGAUCAAACAGGAUUAGAUACCCUGGUAGUCC
rnacentral:rRNA from 1 species